UACGGGGGGAGCAAGCGUUGUUCGGAUUUACUGGGCGUAAAGGGCGCGUAGGCGGCGCAACAAGUCACUUGUGAAAUCUCCGGGCUUAACCCGGAGCGGCCAAGUGAUACUGCCGGGCUAGAGUCCGGAAGAGGCGAGUGGAAUUCCUGGUGUAGCGGUGGAAUGCGCAGAUAUCAGGAGGAACACCAACGGCGAAGGCAGCUCGCUGGGACGGUACUGACACUGAGGCGCGAAAGCGUGGGGAGCGAACAGG
rnacentral:rRNA from 1 species